rnacentral:tRNA from 1 species
CACUAAUUAAUUUACUAAAAUACCUGUUUUGGAUACAGACUACAAACCCAUAAUUAC